UCUGUUUGUAAGGAGUGGCAAGAAAUUGACGCUGAAUAUAGCACGAAAUUAAGGAGAAUUGUUAUUACUCUGUGUAGAUUUCAAACUUUACCCAAGGCAAAUAGAGGGUUCAAACUUUCGCAUAAGUGUGGUCAUUCGUGCACAUGCAUAAAUAUAUGUACUAUAUGUCUGUACAAUCUAGAUCCAAUUGUGUAAAAGGGCCACUCACUCAC